UACGUAGGGUGCAAGCGUUAAUCGGAAUUACUGGGCGUAAAGCGUGCGCAGGCGGUUGUGCAAGACAGAUGUGAAAUCCCCGGGCUUAACCUGGGAACUGCAUUUGUGACUGGCAGGCUUUGAGUGUGGCAGAGGGAGGUAGAAUUCCACGUGUAGCAGUGAAAUGCGUAGAGAUGUGGAGGAAUACCGAUGGCGAAGGCAGCCUCCUGGGCCAACACUGACGCUCAUGCACGAAAGCGUGGGGAGCAAACAGG
rnacentral:rRNA from 1 species